CAGUCGCCGCGGUAAUACGUAGGGUGUGAGCGUUAAUCGGAAUUACUGGGCGUAAAGCGUGCGCAGGCGGUUAUAUAAGACAGAUGUGAAAUCCCCGGGCUCAACCUGGGACCUGCAUUUGUGACUGUAUAGCUAGAGUACGGUAGAGGGGGAUGGAAUUCCGCGUGUAGCAGUGAAAUGCGUAGAUAUGCGGAGGAACACCGAUGGCGAAGGCAAUCCCCUGGACCCGUACUGACGCUCAUGCACGAAAGCGUGGGGAGCAAACAGGAUUAGAUACCCCAGUAGUCCCUGUCUCUUAUAC
rnacentral:rRNA from 1 species